rnacentral:rRNA from 1 species
AGGACGAACGCUGGCGGCGUGCUUAACACAUGCAAGUCGAGCGGAAAGGCCCUUCGGGGUACUCGAGCGGCGAACGGGUGAGUAACACGUGAGUAAUCUGCCCCUAGCUCUGGGAUAGCUCCGGGAAAACCGGGAUUAAUACCAGAUACGACCACUUUAGACAUCUUCUGUGGUGGAAAGAACUUCGGCUAGGGAUGAACUCGCGGCCUAUCAGCUUGUUGGUGAGGUAACGGCUCACCAAGGCGACGACGGGUAGCCGGCCUGAGAGGGCGACCGGCCACACUGGGACUGAGACACGGCCCCAGACUCCUACGGGAGGCAGCAGUGGGGAAUAUUGCGCAAUGGGCGAAAGCCUGACGCAGCGACGCCGCGUGGGGGAUGAAGGCCUUCGGGUUGUAAACCCCUUUCAGCAGGGACGAAGCGAAAGUGACGGUACCUGCAGAGAAGCGCCGGCUAACUACGUGCCAGCAGCCGC